GUCAGCAUGGUGUAGUGCUUUGAGUGUUGGACUACAACUCUGGAGACCAGGGUUCAAAUCCCAGUUUGGCCA
rnacentral:tRNA from 1 species